UACAGAGGUCCCAAGCGUUGUUCGGAUUCACUGGGCGUAAAGGGUGCGUAGGCGGCCGGGUAAGUCUGGUGUGAAAGUUCGCAGCUCAACUGCGAAAAGUCAUUGGAUACUAUCUGGCUGGAGGAAUGGAGGGGGGACUGGAAUACUUGGUGUAGCAGUGAAAUGCGUAGAUAUCAAGUGGAACACCAGUGGCGAAGGCGAGUCCCUGGACAUUUCCUGACGCUGAGGCGCGAAAGCUAGGGGAGCAAACAGG
rnacentral:rRNA from 1 species